GAUGAACGCUGGCGGCGUGCUUAACACAUGCAAGUCGAACGGAAAGGCUCCUGCUUGCAGGGGUACUCGAGUGGCGAACGGGUGAGUAACACGUGGGUGAUCUGCCCUGCACUUCGGGAUAAGCCUGGGAAACUGGGUCUAAUACCGGAUAGGACGAUGGUUUGGAUGCCAUUGUGGAAAGUUUUUCGGUGUGGGUUGGGCUCGCGGCCUAUCAGCUUGUUGGUGGGGUAAUGGCCUACCAAGGCGUCGACGGGUAGCCGGCCUGAGAGGGUGUACGGCCACAUUGGGACUGAGAUACGGCCCAGACUCCUACGGGAGGCAGCAGUGGGGAAUAUUGCACAAUGGGCGCAAGCCUGAUGCAGCGACGCCGCGUGGGGGAUGACGGCCUUCGGGUUGUAAACUCCUUUCGCUAGGGACGAAGCGCAAGUGACGGUACCUGGAGAAGAAGCACCGGCUAACUACGUG
rnacentral:rRNA from 1 species